rnacentral:rRNA from 1 species
UACGUAGGGGGCAAGCGUUGUCCGGAUUUAUUGGGCGUAAAGAGCGUGUAGGCGGCCAUACAGGUCCGUUGUGAAAACUCGAGGCUCAACCUCGAGACGUCGAUGGAAACCGUAUGGCUAGAGUCCGGAAGAGGAGAGUGGAAUUCCUGGUGUAGCGGUGGAAUGCGCAGAUAUCAGGAGGAACACCGAUGGCGAAGGCAGGUCACUGGGCCGCAACUGACGCUGAGGAGCGAAAGCAUGGGGAGCGAACAGG